UCGCGCUCAGUCAAAACACACUCAUAACGGAGUUAUUGUGAGGCCCCGGAUGUGUGUCAGGAUCCAGGUCCGGCUCCGGGCGGAUCCAGCAGAACCACUCCGCGGGACUCACCACGUUCGUGAGGAAAUCGCCGUCGCUGAGCUCCUCCAGGUCCAACAGAAGAUCUCUCACAUUCUUUCUACACCAGUUAACAUCGUCCAAAGGACAUGGUGUCCCUCCUUUCCUUUCCUUUUCUUCUCCGGCGGUGUUGGAUGACUGGAGUGACCUUUGAGGAGCAGUAACAGCAGACUGAACAAACCUGAUGAGCUGAAGGAACGCUGCUUCCACUCCUGAAGCGGCCUCAGCCACAGAGAGCUCUCUGAAGCUGCAUCUACACACAUGGAAACGGUGGAGCGACGUCUCACAGCCAGAAGGAAGAACUC